AUUGAACGCUGGCGGCAGGCCUAACACAUGCAAGUCGAACGGUAACAGAAAGCAGCUUGCUGCUUUGCUGACGAGUGGCGGACGGGUGAGUAAUGUCUGGGAAACUGCCUGAUGGAGGGGGAUAACUACUGGAAACAGUAGCUAAUACCGCAUAACGUCGCAAGACCAAAGAGGGGGACCUUCGGGCCUCUUGCCAUCGGAUGUGCCCAGAUGGGAUUAGCUAGUAGGUGGGGUAACGGCUCACCUAGGCGACGAUCCCUAGCUGGUCUGAGAGGAUGACCAGCCAAACGGGAACGGAGACACGGUCCGGCCGCCUACGGGAGGCGGCAGGGGGGAAUAUUGGAAAAGGGGAGCAAGCCUGAUGCAGCCAUGCCGCGUGUAUGAAGAAGGCCUUCGGGUUGUAAAGUACUUUCGGCGGGGAGGAAGGGAGUAAAGUUAAUACCUUUGCUCAUUGACGUUACCCGAAGAAGAAGCACCGGAUAACUCC
rnacentral:rRNA from 1 species